GAAGAACAGUCCCAGUUUUUGUCUCCCAUGCUUUUAGUUAUUCACAGAAACUUGAGGUAAGAAGAUGUAAUUGACUCAAGAGAGUCAAAGAAGGAUUUAGGAAUAAAAACAGAUUCAGGUAACUUGGUCGGCAUGUAUGAGUUGGGCCGAAGGACCCGUUUCCGUGCUGUAUUGCUCCCUGACUCUAUUUCCAACAUAUGUAGUAUUUUGCAUUCUGUUUUUUUUAAAGCAAUCCCUGGAACUUAUUUGAACUUUCCUCUAUCAACAUUCAUAGCUGUAUUAUGACACAAUUUGUCACUUUUUUCUUUCCAUUUUAUCUCUAGAAGAUUCAUUAUUGUCUCACAAUAUUUUGUUUAAUUUCCUCUUCACAGCACAUUCUAUUCCUAGAGCUCUCUAAUCCAAAAUGAUAGUCUGAAACACAAGUUUAUAUAAGUGAAUUAUUCAC